rnacentral:rRNA from 1 species
GAUCCUGGCUCAGGAUGAACGCUAGCUACAGGCUUAACACAUGCAAGUCGAGGGGCAUCAGGAAGAAAGCUUGCUUUCUUUGCUGGCGACCGGCGCACGGGUGAGUAACACGUAUCCAACCUGCCCUUUACUCGGGGAUAGCCUUUCGAAAGAAAGAUUAAUACCCGAUAGCAUAAUGAUUCCGCAUGGUUUCAUUAUUAAAGGAUUCCGGUAAAGGAUGGGGAUGUCUCUAGUUGUUGGUG